CUGCGGUGAAUACGUUCCCGGGUCUUGUACACACCGCCCGUCAAACCAUGAAAGUGACCAACACCCGAAGUCCGAUUCGUCGGUCUAAGGUGGGGGGCAUGAUUGGGGUU
rnacentral:rRNA from 1 species